CCCUUAGAUGUUCUGGGCUGCACACGUGCUACACUGGCAGGUUCAGCGAGCUUCAUGCCCUGAUCUGAAAGGAAUGGGAAAUCUUUUCAAAACCUGCCGUGCUUGGGAUAGAUGUUUGCAAUUAUUCAUCUUCAACGAGGAUUGCCUUGUAAGCGCACGUCAUCAGCGUGCAUUGAAUACGACCCUGUAUUCUGUACACACCGCCCGUCGCUCCUACCGAUUGAAUGGUCCGGUGAAGCCUCGGGAUUGUGGCCAGUUCACUUUAUUGGGAGUUGGCUGUGAGAACUUGUCUAAACCUUAUCAUUUAGAGGAAGGUGAAGUCGUAACA
rnacentral:rRNA from 1 species